CUCCAGCGUGGAGCAAGAUCUCUUAGCCUUGGCAGCGCUCUGCCGUUGUUCUCCUAAAGAUGCACCUACGCCCAGGACUCAUGCGUUUCCUGCUCCUGCUGUGAGGAGGGGGCAUCCGACGAUUGCAUUCUUGAGUUUGCUACUGAGUGCCUGUUCUACCUUCUGGGGCUGCAUCCACGUUUGUGAGUUCCUUCUGUUGAAGCCUUCUGGUUUUCCCUGAGAUUAAUAAAUCUGCCCCCCCCCUU